UCCUCGGUAGCUCAGCGGUAGAGCGGUCGACUGUUAAUCGAUUGGUCGCAGGUUCGAAUCCCGCCCGGGGAGC
rnacentral:tRNA from 2 species